rnacentral:tRNA from 1 species
GGACAAUUAGCUCAGUUGGUUAGAGCACUUCCUUGACAUGGAAGGGGUCACAGGUUCGAGUCCUGUAUUGUCCACCA